AGUCACGAGUGUCGAGAGCGUGAGUGUCUUAGUGGAGUGCGUGGUUGUGCCUUGAUACAGUAGGUGGUUGUCCACUGAUUUCGGUGGGUGGAGGAAAGGACUGGUGGUGGCUGGCCUGUCCACACCUUGCUGCUGCACCGCUGACUGCCUGAGGGAGCAUGCAAGGGGAGGAAGCAAGCAAGAUGAUGAGGCCUCAGCAAACCAGAGGACUUGAGGGUGAGGGCGAAACGCUAAGCAAAAUAGAAAUUGUUGUGGCAUGUUAUUCGAGUUAUGACUGUGACUGCGGGAGUGUGCUUCGCCGUGCUCCGAUCACCCUUCCUACUAGCCUUACGAUGACGCCGCCUUCUCGAACCAAGGGGAGCUCCGCCGAAAGUGUGAGGAAUACUGACGCAAGCACCAUGCAGCAGUGGUGACUAUUAACGCUUGAUUGCUGAGUCUGUUCCAGUCUUCUACCACUCCACGUAUGAGCGGCAGUAAUGAUUUUAGUCUGUAUUCUGCCAGACUCCCUCCCACCCGCUGCACCAGUUUAUGUAAGGAGAUUGAAGUGGCGCUCUUCAGACAGCUCGUAAGCAGCGUGGAGAGUGCAUUGCCACAUCAGAAACAACAGCUCCAAACUUACUGCAGCACCUGAAGUGAGUCAGUGGAGGCAUUCAGCGCCAGCCAGGACUUCAACUUAGGUGACGCGCCGUGGUGUGGCGGUGUGCAGGAGGAACAGCUGAGAGGAGUCGUCUUACGUUUAUGUCCUGUCCCCAUAUGAGUACUAAAGACACUCGUGAUGAACAGCGCAGCACUCCACUCAAACAGCUCCUGAUCCUGACGGCAGACACACGUGGAGAGGCCAGCACCACUACCACCACCAGCAGCAGCAGCAGGAGAAGGAGGAGAAGGAGGAGGAGGAGGAGGAGUGAUCGAAUCGAAGGGAAGCAGCAAGUCGUUACGUCACAGGGCGAUGGACUGAAUCCCCCUGAGCCCCUAAUGUGAAUGUGACCAGCUCUCCACCACUACCACCACCACCACCACCACCACCACCACCACCACCACCUCCACCACUGUUAGUUACAUCGACCCCGAGCCCUCACCAACCACCUGAGAGAAAGGUGGCGCCGGCGGGGGAAUCGUGCUUCUCUCCUCGUGGCCUCGUCAGGAAGGAAGUUCUUUGGUUGGGUGAAAGUUCUCUUGGUUAGUGGUACAACGGACGCCCCGCACUGCUAAGGACGCCAAGGACCAGCCAGAUGCAAGCAAGCCUUGGGAGGUGGACGGGAGCUGCUGUACAAGAUGGUGUGAUGGCCAAGGUGUACCCAAGACCCCAGCCAACCCGCAGGUGUUCCGCGGCUACCUGCCCCCAACGCCCUCCACCACACCUGCCCCUGCCACGCCAGCCCCCAACUACACCUGCUCCACCUCGUCCCCGCAUCACCAACCCUGAAAAAACACACCCCACCUCGUUCCGCCCCGCCCUACUUCGUCCUGCCGCGCCUCUCCGCCUGAACCUUGGUGAGUGUUUGUUUUGUUGUUUCUCAGGGCGGGGUAGGUUUGCCUCAAGGUCUGGCCGUCGCUGCACCGCCUUCUUCAGUGUGACGUGCCGCGAUGGGUGGUGUGGCAUGGCGUGGCGUGGGGCUCCAGACUGCAGCGGUGAAGUGGCCCCACGUGGCAUCAAAGAGCCCUCGGGGAUGUGUUGCCGGCGAAAUUUGUGCCGUCUCUUGUGGAAGGACUCCGUUUCACAGUUGGUUAUGUCCCUGGUGGCCUUUGGAAGACGGUGAAACGCUCAGAACCAACAGUCGGGGAAAGUUAUGGCUCAAGUUGUUUUUAGCCGCGGGACGUGAUGGCCGCUGGAGCACGUUCUUGUGAAUCUUUGGGUGCGUGUGUGCCCCACUUCCUCCCCGCGGCGUUUGUGUGAUGCAUAUGACAGCUCGCCCUCCACCGCUGUCCAGACAUAUUCGUGUAUCGCCCGAGUUUAUUUUAACAUUAUGCGUGUGCUGUCCUUCCGCGGAGUGUCCCUGUAGCUGCACUCUUUUCAUCUUUGCCUCCCCAAGCGAGGAUCACCCGCCGCUGUUAGUUAAUACACUUUGCGUUGGUGAAAAAAAAACCUUGAUUCCCUCCCUUCCUUUUUUCCGGAAUGCGAGGCUCAGCAAGGUUUUCAUACAAGUAUUUUCCUCACCCGGGACUGGGAUAUUCUGUACUGUACAUGAUUCUCGCGUCAUGCAGGUGUACAAUAUCCACCGUUAUUUCCUCCUGAUCGUGUCCUUGGUGUGAGGAAAAGCCCCGCCCCUGCUUCGUAAAACGUUUGGAGUGCAGUUUGUUUUCCUAAUUGCAGUUGUUGUGAGGCGGCGCAGUCAUUAUUCAGUGGCGCCUCAGACUUUUGUGUUGUCAGAUGCAUCGUGACGGAUUCUCACACUUAUGACAUUUGGCCACCUGUGAAUUAUUUGUCCUUGGUUUUUUUUUUUUUUUUUUUUUUCUUUUCCCAAUACUUUCGCGUGCUUUUGAUGUUGGGCGCCGCUCCUGACUUGCAACAUCGAUAAAAGAGGUGUAACGCAGGUGCAGCUCAUUGUUUACCUGCCGCCAACACGUGGAGGAGGUGAGCAUACCUGUUCACACCUUGGAGGACCUCGCUAGUGUCUCUUAUUUCUUAACUCUCCCUGUUGAUUUUACUCAGUCUUGGUUUUGUCGU